rnacentral:rRNA from 1 species
GACAGAGGAUGCAAGCGUUAUCCGGAAUUAUUGGGCGUAAAGAGCUCGUAGGCGGUUUGUCACGUCUGCUGUGAAAACUGGAGGCUCAACCUCCAGCCUGCAGUGGGUACGGGCAGACUAGAGUGCGGUAGGGGAGAUUGGAAUUCCUGGUGUAGCGGUGGAAUGCGCAGAUAUCAGGAGGAACACCGAUGGCGAAGGCAGAUCUCUGGGCCGUAACUGACGCUGAGGAGCGAAAGCAUGGGGAGCGAACAGG